UUAAAGUAAAUGUUUGGGGCUUCGUGUAAAUCUUUCAUCCGAUGAAAACGUUUGUGAAUUGCUGGCUUCUGACUCAUGAGUCACGCUCUCUGGUUAAGUUUGUGUCUUCAUGUUUCUGUGUGUUUGGCUUCGGUCCUGCUGGAGAGCGUGAAGCAGACCCACCCACUCACACACACACACACACACACACACACACACACACACGGCCCUCCUCCUCCAGAUACAGGACACUUUUGUUCUGUGUUUUCAUCCGGAGUCCAGCGAGUCGAGAGCGAGAGACAGUGUGACAGAAGAGACGCUUCCACAGACGCUUCAGAGCUCAAGUCAAAGGUGAGCGUGAGCUUCUGCUCUUCAUUCUGUUGGUUUCUCAUCAGUGUUUGUGACAGACAUCACGUCUCUCCCCUGCAGGUCUGUCAUGGGCCGCUGGUCGACACGUCUGGCUCUUCUGAUGCUCCUCAUUGGUCAGAUUUCCGCAGAGACGAGCAGCAGCUCAAGCGCCUGUCAGGAUCAGAACGCUCUUCAUGACCGGAUGGAUGCUGUAGAGAAGCGGGUGGAGAACACUCUUCAGAAGCUGGAGGCUGAGCUGGCUCUUCUGCUGGACGCUGUUGAGGCCCCUGAGUGGAGCCCCCUGCUGGACAAACCCCUCAUCGACAUACUGGACGAGCCGCCGGCAACAGACUCAUGAGAACACGAUGAUCAUCAGAGGGUUAAAUAUGAUCCAGACAUUUCUUCACACAACAAUAACGGCACAGAGCAGAUCAUUUAGUUCUGAUCCUAUAAUGAGUCAAAACAGGGUUUAUUUUUAAGCUUUUCACAUUAAAAUUAAAUGAAUCAUUUAUACCAUUUUACUGAGUGUCAGUGGUUUCUUCUAGCGUUUCUUUAGAACUGAUGAUUUAAGGAACCACUGAUGAUGUUCCCAUAAUCAAUCAUUGUAUGCAUGCGAAUAUACAAAAAUAACACACGUUUACAGUGUACAUGAAUGUUUCUGGGUUGUCUUUGUGUUGCCUGUUCAGACUCCCAACAAGCAUUGCUCUUAUGUGCGGUUGCUUCUGUUGUUAGUUUUAGUAACUUGUUUUGUUGUGUUCAGAGUUUGUCAUUUUGUUUUAAUGCACUGCAUCUCACUAAUCUCUCUAUGCUAGAAGUAGUCAUAAAAUCAUUUUUCACAUUAUGAUCUGACUGAUUCGUGUUGUCAUGAAUAUGCGCUGACUUGGAAUGUUAAUAAAAAUAAAAAAAGAAAUGAAUCA
rnacentral:lncRNA from 1 species